UACGGAGGAUGCAAGCGUUAUCCGGAUUUAUUGGGUUUAAAGGGUGCGUAGGUGGUUUGAUAAGUCAGCGGUGAAAGUUUGCAGCUUAACUGUAAACGUGCCAUUGAUACUGUCGGUCUUGAGUUUGGUCAAGGUAGGCGGAAUGUGUAAUGUAGCGGUGAAAUGCUUAGAUAUUACACAGAACACCAAUUGCGAAGGCAGCUUUCUGGGCCGUAACUGACGCUCAUGCACGAAAGCGUGGGGAUCGAACAGG
rnacentral:rRNA from 1 species